GUCCGGCCGGAAACUCAACCCGUGCAGCGGCAGCGUUCCGGCUGAGGCUCGGCGGGAGAGUGGAGGGCAGUGGUUGCUGUGGCGAUGGGGGCGGUGGACGUAGGGUUGGUGGACUGUCACUGCCACCUCUCGGCCCCGGACUUUGACAGCGAUCUGGAUGAUGUGUUGGAGAAAGCCAAGAAAGCCAAUGUUAUGGCUCUUGUGGUGGUUGCUGAACAUUCAGGAGAAUUUGAAAAGAUUAUGCAGCUUUCAGAAAGGUAUAAGGGGUUUGUCCUGCCAUGCUUGGGUGUUCACCCUAUUCAAGGAGUUUCACCAGGAGAUCAAAGAAGUGUCACAUUAAAGGAUUUGGAUGUAGCUUUGCCCAUUAUGGAGAAUUAUAAAGAUCAGUUGUUGGCAGUUGGAGAGGUGGGACUAGAUUUCUCCCCCAGAUUUGCUGGCACUGAUGAGCAGAAGGAAGAGCAACGACAAGUCCUGAUCCGACAGGUCCAGUUAGCCAAAAGAUUAAAUUUGCCUUUAAAUGUUCACUCACGCUCUGCUGGAAGACCCACCAUCAGCCUCUUGAAUGAGCAAGGUGCUGACAAAGUGCUCCUGCAUGCAUUUGAUGGUCGGCCAUCUGUAGCGAUGGAAGGAGUAAGAGCUGGGUACUUCUUCUCAAUUCCUCCUUCUAUCAUAAGAAGUGGACAGAAGCAGAAACUUGUGAAACAGUUGCCUUUAACUUCAAUUUGCUUAGAAACAGAUUCACCUGCACUAGGACCAGAAAAACAGGUACGAAAUGAACCCCAAAACAUUUCCAUUUCAGCAGAAUAUAUUGCCCAGGUGAAGGGGAUCUCAGUAGAAGAAGUUAUAGAAGUGACAACACAGAAUGCAUUGAGACUGUUUCCCAAGCUUUGGCAUCUGCUCCAGAAGUAGCUUCAAAACCAGAUGCCACAGGGGACAGCACUUGAGAGAAAGAAAUGUUCUGAGUAGGAGUCUGAACUGAAGUUCGAAGCCAUUAUAUAAGGAUAUGGAAGAUUAUGAUUUUAGAGAAAUAGUUCUCCUAAAACCAGGCUUGGGUCCUGAAACCCUGGAUUCUGAUUCUACCUUGUGCUUCUUUAUAAUUAAUGGAGUCCUAGCAGGAGAUUGAGAAACACCACUGCCUCUUACCUUACACCAUUAAGUGGAACCCACCAUAUGACCUGAAACCAUUUCUUCUGGCAAGGGAGGCUUCCCCAGAUUAUUCUGCAACAACAAAUGUGCCAUGGGAAACUCUAGGUUUGUGAGCCAUCGCCCAAGGGCACAGUUACUGGUCUCGAGAGGAAUGAGGGGCUGAAAUCAAAUUGGGACAUGACUAAAGGAAAAGAAAAGAAAACAAGGAGCAGUGGUUGAGUAUUUGAUAAUUCAAUGUUUGGGGCCACUUUAUAGAACAUAACUACUGCAAUAACAAGAAUCAACUGUGUACAUAUAGAAAAUAUGCUACUGUUUCUACAGAAAUGCCUCUUAUUCAAUACCUGAUUAUUUGCAUAAUACAGGCCUAACUUUGGGAGUCUAUCUGCAAAAUGACCUACUGAAAGGAAUUUACUGAACUGACCUAUUGUUAGGACCAAGAACCUAGUUCGAUGAGAUGAAACAAUCUACCAGUUCGACUUCUGGACGAUGAACCUUCUUGGGGAAAUUUCAAAGGCAGGACUGUAGGGAAGUGAAAUCUGCCACCCCAAAAUGUGUCUCUUUAGCUCAACAAGGAGGAAUUUGUAAUCAUGGGUGAAAAAUGUCACUUCUAUGUCUAACUUCAACCUGUUAAAAGAAAAGAUUAGUAAUUUUCAUCAGAUAAAUUAAAUUUACCCACUAUAUGGGACUGACCUAUUCCCAGGAGUAGGAGACUGGUCUAACGGGGUGUGGGGUAAUGGGCUUCAAUUUGUUCUUUUCUGUUUGUUUAUCCUCAUUCUAUUUGUUGUUUUCUCCCUUUAUGGAUCUCUUGCCACUCAGCUACUAACUUUCCACACCCACCAGCUCAGCUUUCAAUAUGUGAAACUUACUGAGAAAGCCUCAGAGGAAGAAACUGUUGAGGUUUAGGGCAGGCCACCCAGGAUGUGCUGCUUUGGCAUGCGGAUUAUUUUGAAAUCAAGGCCCAAAAGGCACAGGAAGAACCUUUGACCUUCCCCCUGUCAACCUCACAAAUAAAAUAGUCAGUUACUUUAUUUGGGAAUGGCAGAGGAAUUGCAAUUCAGGACAAGCAAGCUAUGGUGAGCCACAGGCAAGUCCAAAGAGACAAAGGGAAGGUUAGCUUUUAUUAAGUUUUAGAAGGAAAUUGGGGAGGGUUAUUUUGAACAAAAGUUCAUUGGAGAAGAACAAGAGUUUGGGGUUGUGGAGGGCUCUCAUUGGCUGUAAACAGUGACUAACGCAUUGUUGCUGGGGCACAGAGGGCUCUUUCUUAUUUUUCUUAAGAGCAGGAGAUAAAUACCUAGGUAGAAAAUGUCCUCCCUUGUCAAGAUAAUUCUUAUCUUCUUUUUCCCUACUGGUUAUUCAGGCUGCAAGGAUGUGUGAGAGCUCCCCACCCUUCCCCCACCCCCAUCAGGGCUUUGAGACUCCAUUUGAAAUGAGGUUUCCUUUACUCAUUUUCACACCCCUAACUUU